rnacentral:rRNA from 1 species
GACAGAGGUGCCGAGCGUUAGGCGGAAUCACUGGGCUUAAAGCGUGUGUAGGCGGAUCGUUAAGUACCUUGUGAAAUCCCACGGCUCAACCGUGGAACUGCUGGGUAUACUGGCGGUCUUGAGCCACCUAGGGGCAACUGGAACAAGCGGUGGAGCGGUGAAAUGCGUAGAUAUCGCUUGGAACGCCAACGGUGAAAACAGGUUGCUGGGGGUGUGCUGACGCUGAGACACGAAAGCCAGGGGAGCGAACGGG